AUAAUCCUUUGUUUUCCCCCCAUUCUACCAUAAUAUCUUAACUGAUAACAUUAGAGACAUCAAAACCAACACAUUCCAAGAUGUAUAAUACACAGAAAUUUUACAUUAUCAUGAAGAAACAAUGCCACAACUACGACUCCAUGAGAAAAGCACAUAUAUUUGUUUCCAUAGACCACGAUAGAAUUUAUAGCGAUGUUAAAGUACCAAAGCAAGUAACAAUAAUUGAAAGGGCCAAUAUAACGCCAUUAAUGCACAUGUUUACAUGACAACAAGUCAACAACAAGAAUUCGUGUAAUAAACAGCUGCAGCCAGAGUCACAUUAAAUUACAAGUAAUUAUAGCUCAAUGUUGACCUCAACAAGAAGCUUAGGAGUUGGCUCAGCACAAAAUAAAACAAUAGCUUUCCUCAACCCAAUCUUAUAUAUAUUCAGUUCACUCAAUAAAGGAGAAAAAAAGAGGAGAGGGAGAAGGGGGGGCUGCCCGGGCGGGCGGGCGAGCGGCGAGGGGGCGAGUGGAAGCACAGCACACAGGUUAAAGAAAUCUGGUUAUAAAGUACAACUCUGCCAAUUGAAUAAAUUAACAAAAGAUAGCAGUUAUAACAAAUGAGGAAAAAAGGGAAGAAAAGACAAGGAAAAUUUUAAA
rnacentral:misc_RNA from 1 species